rnacentral:lncRNA from 1 species
CCGUAAUCUUGCCAGUCCUGUGAGUUGUGGAGCCCAGCCAGAGUGAUAUGCUGCCAAGACUUCCACCGCCAUUUAAUUAGACUUCCGCUAUCAUGUAAAUAGCCUUAGGGCUAUGCCAGAAGAUUAUAUUCAUCACUGAUGUAAUCAUAUACACAUGUAUUUGAUGAAUAUUCUUGUACCUGGAAUGUUGUAUCAUGGACCUGUCGUGCGUCAGGUGUUAUCCUGGGCUGACGUGUGAAGGCCCCCUGCUACAUGCGGACCAGGGUGCCACAGGGCUUGGUAUCAGAGCAGCCAGGCUAGCAUAGAUUAUCCUAGCAUUAGAUCACCGCCACCAUCAACCCGUAAUGACCCCAAAGGAUUUGACCCAUCCCUGGCGCCCGGCAUGGCCACUGUUAAUCAACAGGUGGCGCAGUCGGGACCGACACGUCCUCACCCCGCUGUCCCUGCCUAGUUAUCCGUGGAGCAACUAGCAACCCUAUCCUUUCUGGUCGGACGCACCGCUUUCCCUUCGCCAUUAAGGGAAAGGGGCCACGCCAUGCGGGCCUGUCCCGCGUAGCUGCCUAUAAAUACUAUUUCCGCUAGCUGUAUCGCUUGCUCCCCAGUCCGCCAUGUCCCUGUAGAGAAGCUUAGCUAGUAGCUCCCCAGUCAUGGCUAGCAGCUCCAAAACUUCCACGUAUUACACCCGCACCUAUGCCGUCAACCACCCUGGCUUUCCACCCCUUCUUGCCGAGAUGCUUACCAAAGCAUUUGGCGGUAAGACUAGCCCCGAUUACCUGGUGUUCCAAUCGACACUCUUCCCUCACAUUCAUCGCUUUGUUGCAAGAGUGCACAUCAGCUUAGGCCCUGCAGCAGAUGUCCAGCCUUUGGUUUUACAGGGUAGAGCCAUGCCUACCUCUGGUUUAGCCAUUCAAGCCGCUGCUGUGCAGGCUAUCCUACACCUCCGAACCAACUUCCCGCAUGUAGCAACAAGGCAGGAGUUCUGCUUCUUCCCCACUGUGUCAAACGCAGUAAUGCAGCCUUCUCCCAUUAGCCAAGAAGAUGAUCCCACAAUCCCUCGCCUGGUGCAAUACAUCACUGCCCAGAGGAUGUUGAUUUCAAUGCUGCUUGCCGAGUUUAGAGCCAUGGACAAUAAUGUGAUACAAGUCGUCAAGGAAGCUUACCGUGAGGCUCGUAAGUUCGCAUCUCAAGCUGUUUGCCCAAUGCCAUCUGAACCAGUGCUAUCCUCUCAACCUGUGUUGUGGCCCAAGCCAAACAUCAUCACCCUCGACAAGUCUCUUCUCCGAAUCCACCAGCAGCAUUUUCCUGGAGCAAUUUCAGCCCCACCGCCCCAACCCAUAGAAGUAUCAGAUGAUGAAGAUGGAGAUUGGCUUAGUCUUCGUCCUCCGGGAGAGCCCUAGCAAGGCCAGUCUUCUGCUUGACCUCAGUCACGCAGUCAGUGGUUUCUACUAGUAGGUCGGUCUGUCGGUUCAUCCUUGAUAUGAGGGUAGAACCAUGUAGCCCGCAACAAGUAGUUUCGCUUAGCGCGUAGUGCGUCUGUGCUUGUUGUAUGCUGGUACUGUUGUAACCCGUAUGCUGUGUUAUUUGCUUGCUUGCUUUUGUUUGUGUGUUUGUUUUUGCUUAUCUCUCUAUCAAACAAAAAUGUUUGACAGGGUUGGCAAUGUGUGCUAACAAGAUUUUAAUCAGUACGACACAUACACUAAAAACAACAUUGAAUCGUUCCGAGUCUCUAACAAAAUGCGCGCUGGUGUAGGUAUAUGUAUACCAGGAGUACAUAUACCAAAUUGUGUUUCCGGAGAAACACUGCUAGCUUUAUUUCUCGCGAUCCAUUACAACUCCCCUAUACAGAUUUCAACUCUGAUUCUACCUCAACCCUAAAUCAACUCUUGAGCUGGCGUAGCCACCUCACUUGCAUCCGAACCCUUCUCCACCACCAUCACUGCGUUGCGUGGUGCCGCAAGUCGCCACCACCGCUCCAUCGCAGCACGCGAUUACUCCACCGGCGUGAAGCGACGGAGAACCAAGCGUGGCGGAGGACCACCCCGCGCACCAUCUUCUUCCUCACCUCGAGCCACCAGCCACAUGUUGUCUCGAGCUCGCUCGUUCCUGAUGAGAAUCAUUAGGAGGAUCGACGAGCCGAUCAGCAUGCCCAGCAGUGCCGUGAGGAACAACCGUAGCGCCACCAAGAACACCUCCUCGCCGAAGGAGCUCGGCUCGAUCUCUCGCAAACCAAAGAGGUAGUAGAGUGGCAUUGUGUUUGUGUGUUGGAAGCAAGUCGUGCUGCAGUUUUUAUAGCCCAACCCCGGUGUACGGUGAGCGAAGUCCAGGAAACUCGCUCGUCGCCCGAUCACUGGCGUCUAGGAGGCGAAUCCGCGAGCAGUGCUGACAAUGUGCUGGCCCGCGACGUGAGUGCUCGCUGCACCGGCGCCGUGCACGCCGCGCACUACGGCACUAGGGUCCUCAUCACCCUAGGAGCUAGAUGCGCGCUGUGCCAAGCCGCACGCGAAGCAGGAGCACAGAAGAAGCAUCUAGCCGGGGGUAGAAGAAGGAGGCUGCUAGUGGACCCUGGACCCACGUGUCAGCAGGUGAGUCCACUGUUCACUGGGUGCAUCUAGCAAUUUUUCGAGAGUUUGAUCUCGAGUGCCCCUAGCUGUGGAUAUACCCAUGUUUUCCCAUAUCUCUUCCUGGGUGUACCAAUUAUCGGUGCCCCAACUCGUUUGAGUUUGACCAAAGGGUUAAAUUUAACCCAGAGAUUUUUCCCUGGAGUGGUUAUCUUUUCUUUGUGUUGUAACCCUAGGAAUCUCGAGGACGAGAUUCUUUUUAAGGGGGGGAGGUUAGUAACAGCCCCAAAAUUGGGUUAUCAAUUGUGCUAUUAUUCCUUCCUGGCACUCAUUUCCAAAAUCUUUCUCCUGAGUUUUGCUGAUGACCCUGAGAAUUCUUGUCAUUUCCAACCUUUCAAAACUUGCUCAUGUCUUUUUUCAGUGGGCAAGACCUCAGUUGCAUCAUCUUAAACCCUCUCAAACCCUAAUUCCAAUUUUUUGGGAUUUGAAUGUGGCCUUUGUGAUUACAAAGGAGCCAUCAUUUUCCUUGAUCUGUUGAUCACCCCAUCUGUUCAUAGAGACCCUCCUAUCCUUUUCAAUCUUGGAUACGCAAAAAUAUUGCCAAGUCCCAUGCAAUAUUUUUGAAUUGUGAUUUAUUCCUUUUCUUGCCUUUCUGAGGAAUAAAAUCAAAAGGCAUAGCUAGCCAUCUCCUAAAUUCAUGUGAACUGGUGGAGUUGAUAAUUAUGCCUAAUCCAAGCUCUGGCAAUUAUAGUGGCCAUAAUCAAAUAAGGAAAAUUGCCUUUUCUUAUUUAAUGCCAAUAUUCCAAUUCUGCCACUUUCUAAAGGAACUACUAUUUCUAUAGCAGGGAAAAUUCCCAUAUAAAUUGUGGAGCUUGUCCUUGCUAUAUAAUCACUAGUUCCAUCUUUAUAUCAUGUUCUACAGAUCAAAAAUUUGGCAAUGAUCCAAUGCAAGUUUCUACCUUCUCUGAAAUUUUGCAAAGGAAGUGCCUUAUCCCUAAUUCCUUUUGAGCUACAAAUUGGUAGGGUGAUUAAUAUUGAUAAAUAACCCAUGGAUACCAAAUAUGAUCUCAAUCCAAUCAUCGUAGCUCCUUGUGCAUUUUUUCAAAGUUUCUGACCAGAUUGUCACUUUGUGAAGGAAGUACCUUCAUGGAGUUUCCAAAUGGGAUGAAACUUUUCCAUCCUCUCAAGUAUCCCAAAUCAUUAGCCUUCACCCAAAGUCAGCUCAUUUCAUUGAGCUAUGUGAGCAUAGGAGCAAUUCUUGUUCUCUGUCCAAAUUUUCAGUUUGUGAAGCAAGUAUAUUUUAUCUUGCUCCAUUAUGGCUGAAAAUAAUUCCAAGCCUUCUCCUAUCCAUAUAAUCCACCUACCCAUGCCCUAAAUCAACUCCUAAGCUGUCGUAGCCACCUCACCUGCAUCCGAACGCUUCUCCACCACCAUCACUGCCUUGUGUGGUGUCGCAAGUCGCCACCACCGCUCCACCGCAGCACGCGAUUACUCCACCGACGCAAAGCGACGGAGAACCAAGCGUGGCGGAGGACCACCCCGUGCACCAUCUUCUUCCUCACCUCGAGCCACCAGCCACGCGUUGUCUCGAGCUUGCUCGUUCCUGAUGAGAAUCGCCAGGAGGAUCGACGAGCCAAUCAGCGUGCCCAACAGUGCCGCGAGGAACAACCAUAGCGCCACCAAGAACACCUCCUCGCUGAAGGAGCUUGGCUCGAUCUCACCUAAAUCAACUCCUGAGCAUUGGUAAGAGAGUCCGAGGGACUCGGUGCACAAGUUUGGUUGCAUUGCAUGAGUAGUGAGUUUUAUUUGCAUUUAAAGAACAUGAGAUGAUUGCAUGUUAUGUCUGCAUUGGAUAUGAUUGGUAGUUUAUGUUCAUCAUAGUUUCAUGAUACCAUGCCAUGUUUUGAUUGAGCUUAUGCCAUGUUAUUGCCAUGUGGUAGAUGCUAUGAUGUUGUUCAUGCUCAGUUGAUCUAUAUCAUGCCAUGCUUAGUUUAUGAUAUGAGAUAGGUUGUUGCAGACGCUUGGUUCUUGCUUUGUCAUCUGUUUGUUUGGAUGCUAUGUAUUUGGUUGUCUUGCAAGUACAUUCGGUGUACUGACAUGGCGUGUCAUGCCAGUUUUGUAGGUCGUACCCGAAUUGUUUGUUGUUCCGUCGUGCUAGGCCCUAAUCUUGCCAGUCCUGUGAGUUGUGGAGCCCAGCCAGAGUGAUAUACUGCCAAGACUUUCGCCGCCAUUUAAUUAGACUUCCGCUGUCAUGUAAAUAGCCUUAGGGCUAUGCCAGAAGAUUAUAUUCAUCACUGAUGUAAUCAUAUACACAUGUAUUUGAUGAAUAUUCUUGUACCUGGAAUGAUGUAUCAUGGACCUGUCAUGCAUCAGGUGUUAUCCUGGGCUGACGUGCG